GGCGGGCCGGAGGGCGCGCAAGGGAGGACGGGAGCUGCGCGGGCCGGGCGCGGCGCCGCAGACGGAGGAGCGGGAACCAACAUUUGUUGCGCCCAAGAUUGCAAAUCUGAGAAACCACCAAGGAGCCAACACCGAUGCAAACACACGAGGGUUUAUUAGCAAGCUCAAGCUUGGGUCCAAGUAUACCCAACACAGCGGAGCAGGGACUUGGACCCCAAGAUGUGUUACAGCUGGGUUUUUAUGGACUGCUCUAGGGGUAAGGUGGGGUUUUUCAGUAAGGGGGGGUAUGUGUGAGAAUCUCCAGUAAAGAGGUCUCACAAGCUCUUGCUUCCUUAUUCCGAAUAAGGCCGUGCUUUGUGUUUUUUACUGUAGCUGGGGUAAGGUGGAUUCAGGACCUGGUCACAGUGGCCUGGUCACAGUGGCCGGAGAUGGCUACCGAAGCUACAAUGGCUGUACUUGGGCCAAUGUUAAACUUGAAUGGCCCUAAUUCUCUCAGCCUGCACACAUUGUCUAGGUAGUUAAAACGGUGACCUUGAAUGAAUGCAUUCAGGAGAAGAGUGUAGAUGGAGUGAAACAGUCCCACCGCAGCAUUUCAAAGUGGCAGAGAGAAGGAAAAUCCAGCAAAGGAGGAAGGCCGGGAGGAACUGACCAUUGAAUAAAAGGAAAACCAAGAGUUUGGGUGUCCAUGAAGCCGGUCAAAAGCUCUUCUGACGGACACCUCGGUGGCUCAGCAGGGAAGCCCAUCUGUCUUCGGCUCAGGGCAUGACCCGAGGGUCCUGGGAUCAAGUCCUGAAUCGGGCUCCCUGCAUGGAGCCUGCUUCUCCCUCUGCCUGUGUGUCUGCCUCUCUCUGUGUCUCUCAUGAAUAAAUAAAUAAAUCUUAAAAAAAAAAAAAAAAAAAAAAAGGCUCUUCUGAAAGGAGAAGCUGCUCCACUGGAUGGAGCUGAGACGUAGAGUGGGAGGACUGUCCUGCCACUCAGCAGUGUGACCCCAGGCAGAGCAAGUGCUGAACCCGUUUCCUCAUUUACAGAGAUGGGAGUACUCCGAUGUUGGGGUUAGGAGGUGUGAAAGCGCCUAGCAUAUAAAGAUCGAAGUCCCCGCCCUGUCAGUGACCCUCUGCCCGCCACUACCUCCCUCCUAGUCAGUGGUAAGCAGCAAAGGGGAUG